CACUAUGGCUAUGCCACCCUGAAUGUGCCCGAUCCAGUCUGAUCUCAGAAGUUAAGCAGGGUUGGGCCUGGUUAGUACUUGGAUGAGAGACCACCUAGGAAGACCAGGUGCUAUAGGUG
rnacentral:rRNA from 1 species